rnacentral:rRNA from 1 species
UAGCGGAGGGUGCGAGCGUUAUCCGGAUUCACUGGGUUUAAAGGGUGCGUAGGUGGGAAUGUAAGUCAAGUGGUGAAAUCUCUGAGCUUAACUCAGAAACUGCCAUUGAUACUAUGUUUCUUGAAUUUUCUGGAGGUCAGCGGAAUAUGUCAUGUAGCGGUGAAAUGCUUAGAUAUGACAUAGAACACCAAUUGCGAAGGCAGCUGGCUACAGGGAUAUUGACACUGAGGCACGAAAGCGUGGGGAUCAAACAGG